rnacentral:lncRNA from 1 species
CCGGGAACCCCGAACAUCCCCUUUCUCUACUCUUUCCCUUUGGAGUCUAUAGAGGGAGAAGCAGAGCCUAAGGCUUCAUCAGUUUGAAUACUGGCUGGGGCUGGGCAAGUUAGUGGCUCAAAGUGUUGAAUCUGUCCCUAAAGCAGGGACAGAAAUGGAGGCUCAGGAGGUAGAGGUGGCAGUGGGCGUGCAGGAGAAGCUGUAGGUCAGGAGGUAGAGGUGGCAGUGGGCGUGCAGGAGAACUGUAGGUCAGAGUGGAGAGGUGGCAGUGGGCGUGCAGGAGAAGCUGUAGGUCAGGAGGUAGAGGUGGCAGUGGGCGUGCAGGAGAAGGUGUAGGUCAGGGGGUAGAGGUGGCAGUGGGCGUGCAGGAGAAGCUGUAGGUCGGGAGGUAGAGGUGGCAGUGGGCGUGCAGGAGAAGCUGUAGGUCAGGGGGCAGAGGUGGCAGUGGGCGUGCAGGAGAAGCUGUAGGUCGGGAGGUAGAGGUGGCAGUGGGCGUGCAGGAGAAGCUGUAGGUCGGGAGGUAGAGGUGGCAGUGGGCGUGCAGGAGAAGCUGUAGGUCGGAGAGGGUGCAGAGUGGAGAACAGAUGAGCUGGAGUCACACCAUGCCCUAUACCCAGCCAGAGGCCGAAGUGAGCCUGUCACGGUAAUGCCACUGCCUGCUUGAUUCCCUCCCAUGCCUAGCCUGGGUUCUUCAUGAUCCCUGAGGCCCUCUUUGAUGUCAUCCCGCUGCCUCAAAACCUGUGUGUGCUGGUGGCUCCCUCUGCUUUCCUUCCAGAUGACUCCUUCGCUUCAGCUCAAAUGUCACCUUUGGCUGUUAAAAUCCUUUCCGGAGGAAGUUGUAAACAAUGCCUACCCCUCCUCCCGAGGUCUCUGAUUCCACUCCAGGGAAGAUUGCUCUGGGGGAGCCAAUGAGUUUGUUGGGAUUACUUCCAGAGCAUAGGUGAGGGGUUAGUUACUUGAAUAUGAGUGCUGCCCACCAAAAGACCGCACUGAAAAGUCUUUACCCAGCAGGGGUGAUGGU